GGAGGAGUCGCCUAGUGGCCUAUGGCACGGGUUUGGAAAACCCGGACCCGAAAGGGUCUCGUGAGUUCGAAUCUCACCUCCUCCG
rnacentral:tRNA from 5 species